UGGGGGAUAUUGCACAAUGGGGGAAACCCUGAUGCAGCGACGCCGCGUGAGUGAAGAAGUAUUUCGGUAUGUAAAGCUCUAUCAGCAGGGAAGAAGAAAGACGGUACCUGAGUAAGAAGCCCCGGCUAACUACGUGCCAGCAGCCGCGGUAAUACGUAGGGGGCAAGCGUUAUCCGGAUUUACUGGGUGUAAAGGGAGCGUAGACGGUAUGGCAAGUCUGAAGUGAAAGCCCCGGGCUCAACCUGGGAACUGCUUUGGAAACUGUUAAACUAGAGUGCUGGAGAGGCAGGCGGAAUUCCUAGUGUAGCGGUGAAAUGCGUAGAUAUUAGGAGGAACACCAGUGGCGAAGGCGGCCUGCUGGACAGUAACUGACGUUGAGGCUCGAAAGCGUGGGGAGCAAACAGG
rnacentral:rRNA from 1 species